GAUGAACGCUGGCGGCGUGCCUAAUACAUGCAAGUCGAGCGAACAGACGAGGAGCUUGCUCCUCUGACGUUAGCGGCGGACGGGUGAGUAACACGUGGAUAACCUACCUAUAAGACUGGGAUAACUUCGGGAAACCGGAGCUAAUACCGGAUAAUAUAUUGAACCGCAUGGUUCAAUAGUGUAAGACGGUUUUGCUGUCACUUAUAGAUGGAUCCGCGCCGCAUUAGCUAGUUGGUAAGGUAACGGCUUACCAAGGCAACUAUGCGUAGCCGACCUGAGAGGGUGAUCGGCCACACUGGAACUGAGACACGGUCCAGACUCCUACGGGAGGCAGCAGUAGGGAAUCUUCCGCAAUGGGCGAAAGCCUGACGGAGCAACGCCGCGUGAGUGAUGAAGGUCUUCGGAUCGUAAAACUCUGUUAUUAGGGAAGAACAAAUGUGUAAGUAACUAUGCACGUCUUGACGGUACCUAAUCAGAAAGCCACGGCUAACUACGUG
rnacentral:rRNA from 1 species